rnacentral:rRNA from 1 species
GAUGAACGCUGGCGGCGUGCCUAAUACAUGCAAGUCGAGCGAACGGACGAGAAGCUUGCUUUGCUGACGUUAGCGGCGGACGGGUGAGUAACAUGUGGAUAACCUACCUAUAAGACUGGUAUAAUCUCGGGAAACGGGAGCUAAUACCGGAUAAUAUUCUGAACCGCGUGGUUCAAAAGUGAAUGUCGGCCUUUCUGUCACGUAUCGCUGGAUCCGCGCUGCAUUAGCUAGUUGGUAAGGUAACGGCUUACCAAGGCAACGAUGCGUAGCCGACGUGAAAGGGUGUUAGCCCACACUGGAAGCGGACCGCGCACCGGACUCCUGCGGGAAGGAGCAGUAUGGAAUGUGACGCAAUAGAGGGAAGCCUGACGGAACGACGCCGCGUGUGAGAUGGACAUGUCGCGAGCGUAAAACUCCGUUAUUAGGGGUGAACAUAUGUGUAAUUAACCGUGCACAUCUUGACGGUAACUAGUAAAAAAGCAACGGCUAACUACGUG